UACGUAGGGGGCAAGCGUUGUCCGGAUUUAUUGGGCGUAAAGAGCGUGUAGGCGGCUUGGUAGGUCCGCUGUGAAAACUCGAGGCUCAACCUCGAGACGUCGGCGGAAACCAUCUGGCUAGAGUCCGGAAGAGGAGAGUGGAAUUCCUGGUGUAGCGGUGAAAUGCGCAGAUAUCAGGAAGAACACCCGUGGCGAAGGCGGCUCUCUGGGACGGUACUGACGCUGAGACGCGAAAGCGUGGGGAGCGAACAGG
rnacentral:rRNA from 1 species